GACGAACGCUGGCGGCGUGCUUAACACAUGCAAGUCGAACGGAAAGGCCUGCUUUCCCUUGUGGAUUGCGGGUACUCGAGUGGCGAACGGGUGAGUAACACGUGAGUGAUCUGCCCCCAACUUGGGUAUAAGCCUGGGAAACUGGGUCGAAUUCCCGAUAGGACUGCAGGGUGGUGCCUGUGGUGGAAAACGAUUUUCUAGUGGUUGGGGAUGAGCUCGCGGCCUAUCAGCUUGUUGGUGGGGUAAUGGCCUACCAAGGCGGCGACGGGUAGCCGGCCUGAGAGGGUGGACGGCCACAUUGGGACUGAGAUACGGCCCAGACUCCUACGGGAGGCAGCAGUGGGGACUAUUGCACAAUGGGCGGAAGCCUGAUGCAGCGACGCCGCGUGGGGGAUGACGGCCUUCGGGUUGUAAACUCCUUUCGACCGCGAGGAAGCCACCUGGUUGGAAGGGUGGUGACGGUAGUGGUAGAAGAAGCACCGGCUAACUACGUG
rnacentral:rRNA from 1 species